ensembl:lncRNA
GUGUCUAUGCUGUCAUCACAUACAGAUAAACUGAACAUGGACAUCUCCCGAAGAAAUCAGUAACUCCUUCAUGUGUGGCGUUCUGUGAGAUGAUGAUAGAGUUUGGAAAAACUGGAGUUUGUUUGAUUAAAGAUCCCUGCAGUGUGGGUAUAAGGAAACAGAGGUGAGGCAGAGGUAAAUGCAGGGGUCUGAAGGUUAGGCUGGGGUUUGGGUGGAUGUUAUGUCCCUCUGACUAUAGCAAAAUGUGCUUUUCGCUAAGGAGGCAUUGGGGUCUUUUCAUUAUUUCCAUUAGUUCUGAUCCACCCUCAAGGGUCCAAAAGAUGUCAAGAAUUAAUAGCCACAGUGGUCAAGGUUACUCUUGCGAUAAUUCACUCAACCCUGCAUCUUUUCACUUUAUCAAAUGUUCAAAAUAUAAAAAAAAAAAAAAAGAAGGAAGGAAGGAAGGAAGGAAGGAAGGAAGGAAGGAAGGAAGGAAGGAAGGAAGGAAGGAAGGAAGGAAGGAAGGAAGAAAGAAAGGAAGAAAGAAAGAAAGAAAGAAAGAAAGAAAGAAAGAAAGAAAGAAAGAAAGAAAGAAAGAAAGAAAGAAAGAAAGAAAGAAAGAUAGAUCUCAAUAGAAUAAAGGAGAAGUAAGAUAUGGGACUGAAGGAGAGAAGAAAACCUAGAUAGAUGGGGUGAUACAUACCAUAUACUCCACAUUGUUUCAAGUGAAGGAGGCAUAAAAAGUCGGAAACCUGUACAUUUCCAGUUUUCCCAAAUAAGAUGUCCCAUAACUCAGUAUGAAGAGCAGAUCGGGCAUGUUUGACAACACAUUCCUCGGUCUACCUUUACACUCCCCUGAUGGAAUCACAUUUUCCAACCCUCAGACCUUCACAGAGAGCAAGGCAGGGGGCAAACAAUAAUACUGGUCUCCUCUGAGACUGUGUGCACUUCAUUUGUUAAAUAUCAAAGCAGAUACUGCGGUGUUUAGAUAUGUUUGAUCCCAACAACUCUCCCAUUACCUACAAUGGCUAAAGGUUUAUUACUUUAAUAUAUAUCUGCCAACACAUUUAUGUAACCUACUUCCAGGUAUCUUGUAUUAAAAUUU